UGAUGCAAGCUGCGUGUUUUCGCACAAGAUGUAUGAGGAAUCUUCGAGUGGUGGAGACAAGCGUACAGACACAUUAGCAGAUUGGGACUAAGUCACGUGAGCUGUGUAGCCAAUCACCAGGCUCAGCUAGUCCCGCUACACAUCCGUUGAGGAACUAGUCACGUGACCGACAGCCCGUUGUUUGCUGCUGUUGUUGUCUUCUCGUCAGCCUACACUGAGCCUGCAGCAGUGCCGCCCCUCCUGCUGCCUCCAAGCAAAGAAGCAGAGAAUAGUUGUGAGUCCCUGACAGCUCUGACAGGGUGUGUAUAGCUGAGUACAAUGGCAAAUUGUGGAUGGCUAUGGAGUUUCAUCUGGUUCAUCAUCCUUCUUGUCUUCGGCUGGCCCAUUGGAUUCUUCUGCUCCAUUUUUUAUGUUCUUCUGAGUCCAUUCUCAGCAUGCUGCAGUGGUUGUAAUGAAUUUAUCAACCUGUUGGAGAGGGGAGUCAAACUACCGUUGACUUGUGCACAGAACAUGGUACAUGGAAAAUCCAUGUGUUGAAAAAGAUUGCUUAAGCUAUUUUCUUUAUCAUUUCAUUAAGUCAUUUUCAUCAUGAAUUAUUGCAUAUCAUGGUGCUAUAUAUGAAUACAUCUCUUUUUUUUUUUGUUGGGAAUGAGAAAUGCAUAUACAGUCACAUAAAUUAUAAGCAUGUACUUUUAAUCAGUUGGGGUUUGAGUAGUAUAUUAUAUCAUUUUCUUUCUUGUAUACAGAUUAGGAGAUAUAAAUCUUCCUGUAAAAAUGUGUUUGUGCUGUCUCCAUAUGGCUAGAACAAAACAUGAUGUGCCUUAUCUUGUACAUUAUUUCAUUUUCUUUCCUGUAGACAUGAAUGUAUAUGUAAAAGUGUUUUGAGCUGUAUUCAUUCUGCUAGAACAGAACAAUGCAGUGCCUGUAUUGAACAUUAUUUGAGACUUUUUAUUCUCACAUUUAUUAUCUCUUGUUUAUUUUUGUUGUUGUUAAUGAUGCUACACUCUCAGCCUUAUAGGUUUGGCUGCAUUCAGUUUUGUUUUAAUCGCAGGUAAUAAUCAAUGGGGUAACUAUUAUUGGAGUAAGAAUAUAACUGGGACACAUGCUUGCUAUAGUACUCAAAGACCAAACAGAAGGAUUCUUUUUCAAAGUAUCUGGGUUAAUUUUAUUGCAUGAUACCUAUUUCCAAUGUACCAGUGAAUAAUUCUCCAUUCACAACUUGUAAGGUCUCACACAUUGAUGUCUGACUAAUAUGCACAUCAUUAUAGGACAGGGGCACAUUGAUGACACUUGAAAUAAUCAUGCAUAACUAGUUUGGCAAUUAUCUACAACAAUAUAUACAUGUGUAUUUAUUGCAUAAAUUAAAAGCUUCACUGGGGCCAGUGGAAUCAUGUCUUUUACAAAAUUAUUUAAAGACCAAACUUGUCAUUCUUGAAUUUUUGUGUGAACAGAUCUCUUAUGAAGUUGAACAAUGGUGCUGACAGAAUUGUUCAGACACAUUAUCAAAUAUGCAUUAAUAACGUAUUGUCGUCAAGUUUUCUACUGCUUGCUAGAAAUAUGAAACCACUGAUUUUCGUCAUUUUGUUUUCCUUAGUUUAUAUGUUAUUCAUUUGUUUUCAUGUCCCUCAUAUGCUGUCCACGUCUCAUUCUUGUUCUUAGGCGCUAAGAGUAUGCUCCUUAGGAGUGUGAAGUACACACUUUACAAAUUUUGCAUUUAUUAUUAUUAUGAAAUGUCUAUCAUGUCAGAAUUGGCAAAGCAUGGAUGAUCAAGUUGUUUUCUGCCAUUCUUGCCACCAAGGUAUAUACGCAUUGCUGUAGACUGUAAUAUUGAGAUACAAGAAUGGAAUAUCACAUACAUUGGAGAUUGCAAAGUUAACAUGUAGAAUAGCCUUGCUGUGUAAACCUGUUUCACCUUGUUGUCACAGAAUGCUCAACCCCAAACUCCCUCCCCUCUGACUUGAGAUUGGCUAGCCUGACCACCUUAUGAAUCUUGUAAGUGCAGCUCUGUUUCUACCCUUUUAUAUCAUCCAAGCACAAUUGAUGGUUCUAAGUUCAGCAGCACCAUUUCUUAAAUUAGUAGAUGAUUCUCAGUUUCUUCACCCAAGUGAACUAAAAACAAAUUAAUGUGCAACUAGUGUCCCAAAUAUCAAGAAUAAUAAACCCAAGCUAUUCUUUAAAGAUUUGUGUCAUAAAUAAUAAGAAUGACAAAACAAUUCUUUAAAGACUUAGUAAAUAUACUGUAGCCGGACUGAACAGAUUCCUCGUUAAGACUGCGGCCCCUUUAGCGCCAAGUCAGUCUGUUCCUCUAAUUAGUGUUCCAGGGAAGAGGACAGAAGUUCCUAAGGAGAAUUUCCACUAAAAUUCUUCUCGUUCGUCGGGUGCGUUGUCUAAUCUCUACCUCACGUUGUGUUUUUUUUUCCCAACCUCUACACACCCGACCUUGGAAUCCACAACUUUUUCCCAGACAAAAGUCUUUUCUAUGGUGCCACGUUCAACUCCACGGAUCUUCAUGUGUGUUCUCCGAGUCACAACUACAUACAACACACAUCUCUCUGGCUCUAGUGAGGCACUUUCAUCUAUUUCACACCACACACUAGCAUUUGCUUGGACUAACACGCUCAUACAGUAAAUAAGUUCAAAAAUAGAUUUAUUUAUAUUAUUUACACAUACAACUACUAUAUCUAUUCUAACCUACCUACCUAGUCUACUAAAACCUAGCACUUAACUCCCUGGGGUGGGGAGAGAGGGGCUUAGUGACGUGAGCCGCUGUCCGGCGGACCAUAGCCUCUUGCGGCAGAACGGUGCUACUCGCGUACUCAGAACCAAAGUUUUACUGAUUUUCUCAGCAGGACCAGCUGCCUUUUGGUAAACAGGUGCAAGCACUGACUUUCUAUUUAUACUGGGCAGUUUAAAUGCCACAUCGCCCGCUGCUGUGCGUCAUGCGCGACCAGUGAUGGGGUGAAGGCAACAAGCAGCCAGCGGUACACGCUGCCCUAAGCAAACGCUCCCGCCACGAACUUGUAUUACUGGACUGCUGGCAGACGAUUUGUCCAAACUGCUAAAAUGAGGCAGGUGUAUACAAAGCUUCCGGUUUAGUUACAUUCUUUGUUACGGCUCGCCGAGACUAACAGCGGAGAACUUCGCAAGAGGCUAAGCGUUGGUCUUGGCAGACAGACAGCAAUCCACCUCUACUAAAAUAAAUUGUAAAGUUCUGUAAUAAGCAGAAAAUGAUACAUAUGCUAAAGAUGGGUGAAAGCUAACCUCAGUGUGAAUGAUGUGCCACACCAACUUUGCUAUAAUUAUGGCUUUUAUUAAAAAUUGAUUUAUAUUUUA